GACGAACGCUGGCGGCGUGCCUAAUACAUGCAAGUAGAACGCACAGUUUAUACCGUAGCUUGCUACACCAUAGACUGUGAGUUGCGAACGGGUGAGUAACGCGUAGGUAACCUGCCUGGUAGCGGGGGAUAACUAUUGGAAACGAUAGCUAAUACCGCAUAAUAUUAAUUAUUGCAUGAUAAUUAAUUGAAAGGUGCAAUUGCACCACUACCAGAUGGACCUGCGUUGUAUUAGCUAGUAGGUGAGGUAACGGCUCACCUAGGCGACGAUACAUAGCCGACCUGAGAGGGUGAUCGGCCACACUGGGACUGAGACACGGCCCAGACUCCUACGGGAGGCAGCAGUAGGGAAUCUUCGGCAAUAGACGAAAGUCUGACCGAGCAACGCCGCGUGAGUGAAGAAGGUUGUCGGAUCGUAAAGCUCUGUUGUAAGAGAAGAACGGGUGUGAGAGUGGAAAGUUCACACUGUGACGGUAGCUUACCAGAAAGGGACGGCUAACUACGUG
rnacentral:rRNA from 1 species